rnacentral:rRNA from 1 species
UACGGAGGGUGCAAGCGUUGUCCGGAUUUAUUGGGUUUAACGGGUGCGUAGGCGGCCCUGUAAGUCAGUGGUGAAAUACUGCAGCUUAACUGUAGCAUUGCCAUUGAUACUGCAGGGCUUGAGUACAGAUGAGGUAGGCGGAAUUGAUGGUGUAGCGGUGAAAUGCAUAGAUACCAUCAAGAACACCGAUUGCGAAGGCAGCUUACUAAGCUGUAACUGACGCUGAGGCACGAAAGCGUGGGGAUCGAACAGG